rnacentral:rRNA from 1 species
CCCUACGGGGCGCCGCAGGCGGUUUGGUAAGUCAGAUGUGAAAGCCCACGGCUUAACCGUGGAAGUGCAUUUGAAACUGCCAGACUUGAGUAUCAGAGGGGAAAGUGGAAUUCCCGGUGUAGAGGUGAAAUUCGUAGAUAUCGGGAGGAAUACCGGUGGCGAAGGCGACUUUCUGGCUGAAUACUGACGCUGAGGCGCGAAAGCGUGGGGAGCAAACA